AGCAAUCCAGAGAAAUGUGUUCUAUAUGUCAUAAUUGCAAAGUGAAUGGAUGGUGUGAGAAACUGAAAUGGUUAAUGGCUUAAACAUUGUUAAGAUUACUGAAAGACUUUUGUCCACUGUAGAAAACUGUGCAAAGACACAACUGCUCACUGAAGCAACUCCCACACUCCCUCCCCAAAUAUACUUAUUAAUUUGGACCGUGAGGGGAACUUGAGAUAAGAUAAAGGUUCUACUAUUGUCCAGUUAUCCCAGGAGAAGAAUGUACCCACAAGUGUGAAAGAAUAGAGUGCUGACCCCCAUGGACUUCCGUCACCACACAGGUUUUUUUCUCUCACCACCCUGGACUCAGACUGCAACCAUCACUUCAACAAGACUGGAACUCACCAUCAAGAAGGCCACAAGAACAGGAUCAACAGGAUGUCACCGGAGUCUACAGAGUGGUCCAAAUCCAUAGAUAAAUCAUCUUCAUCUGCUGCUGAUGCCCAUUUGCCCUCCUGCUUAAGACUUGGUUCCAACUCCCUUUUAAAAACCUGUGAAAACACAAUACAGGUAAAAGGCCAAUCAGUUCAGGCAGGAACAAUCACUACUUUGGCUUAAGGGUAUGGCUGCCAGCCAUAAGCACAUCUGUCAUAUUGCUUUGAAGAAAGUGAAGCUUCAUAUAGGGCCAGAGAUGCAUUUGCAUAAUCUCUUUGACAAUAAGUGAUGGAACAGCAAUAAGGUCUAUUUUGGACUAUAAAAAAUCUUGAGCUGUGAGGGAAGAAGGUGAGGUGGGAAUAAUAAGACAAAUAUUGAAAUGAAAAUAAGAAAGAACAGAUGGACUAGACAAAUCAGAUAUCUGCAUAGUGGAAAAAAUAUUAUAUACAAAUGCGUUUUCUGAAAAUCAGUGUGUUUCUACUGUCUAGGCAUUUCUGAACAAAGCAAGAGCACUAGAAAAUUGAAAUAGCAGAGUAAGAUCAAAAGAUGAAGCCAUUUGGGAGUAUAAAAAUAAUGAUAAGACAAUGCAUAGGGUUCUGCUGAGGAAAACAAGGAACACAUUAAUUAUAUGGGAACUCCUCGCAUGCAAGUGUUAGGAAGAUUGACAUGUGGGACCUUUAGCCAGUGUAUCAUCAGAUUUACUUCGUAUUAUGCAAUAUUGUACUGAUAUGAGUGAUCCAUGAACAACAAAUCAAUGUUUAAAUGUUUAAAGAAUUUAUUUUUUUAAUAUCCUUACAAUGGAAAAAAUAUUCAGAACUGUAUGUUGUCAGUAUAUUCGCAUUAUAUACAUACUUUAAAUAUAUUGUUUAUAACACUGAAAUGUGUGUUGUCAUUAUAUUUAGAAAUUAUUUAAAUUUUCCUUGGAUUUACUAAACACAUGGUUGAUAUUGAUGUUAUUUACACUUUGAAUUAUUGGGAAAUGUUGCAGUUUGAACUGUCUCCUGUUUGACGGAUCAGAUAAAUCAGAUGUUUUUAUUUCCAGAACUCGAUUAUAAAAUGUACUCACAACAGACUCUUUCACAAAUACAAACAAAAAGUUCCUGCAAAAAUGUGUGUUAGCAAAAUGCAAUAGUCCACGGGAGAUACAACAAAGUUACCUUUUUAUCCAUUAGUACCUCAGUGUGACAGGAAAAUAAAAACACAACUAGCAUAUCCAGUAUGUCAGAUCAUAAUUAUCAUGAGUUGUCAAUCCCUUUUGGUGGUUUACACUGUGGUGGAGUAAACUCGUAUGUUGGUCUACCUCUUGAAGAUCUAUCUAACCAGGGAUGGUCUCUCUAAUAUUAUAUGCCUUGUUUUUGUGUUUUAAUCCUAGGAAAAUAAUACUGAUAUAAUCUUCUUCCAGCAUGCAGAUCAACUUUUCUUUUCUCUUGUGAAUUACUUUCUGAACAUUUUAUUGAAAAUUGUUGAAAAGAUCUUGCUGACUGGAGCAAAUUCCAUGUAAUCAAGGACAAUUGCUAUAAAAUGGCAAAUGAACACUUAUUGGAAGCUUGUGUGCCUGUGAUCCUAAAAAUGAGCUAUCAAGAUAUCAGUAUAAGUAAAGACAAUAUUCAACUC